UACAGAGGUCCCAAGCGUUGUUCGGAUUCACUGGGCGUAAAGGGUGCGUAGGCGGUUGGGUAAGUCUGAUGUGAAAUCUCACAGCUUAACUGUGAAACUGCAUUGGAUACUAUCCGGCUAGAGGAAUGGAGGGGAGACUGGAAUACUUGGUGUAGCAGUGAAAUGCGUAGAUAUCAAGUGGAACACCAGUGGCGAAGGCGAGUGUCUGGACAUUUCCUGACGCUGAGGCACGAAAGCCAGGGGAGCAAACGGG
rnacentral:rRNA from 1 species